rnacentral:rRNA from 2 species
UUGGCCUCGGAUCAGGUGGGGAUACCCGCUGAACUUAAGCAUAUCAAUAAGCGGAGGAAAAGAAACCAACAGGGAUUGCCUCAGUAACGGCGAGUGAAGCGGCAACAGCUCAAAUUUGAAAUCUGGCUCACGCCCGAGUUGUAAUUUGUAGAGGAUGCUUCGGGUGAAGCCGCGGUCCAAGUCCCUUGGAACAGGACGUCAUAGAGGGUGAGAACCCCGUACCUGGCCGCCGGUGCCCCCCGCUGUGAAGCUCCUUCGACGAGUCGAGUUGUUUGGGAAUGCAGCUCUAAAUUGGUGGUAAAUUCCAUCUAAAGCUAAAUACCGGCCAGAGACCGAUAGCGCACAAGUAGAGUGAUCGAAAGAUGAAAAGCACUCUGGAAAGAGAGUCAAAAAGUACGUGAAAUUGUUGAAAGGGAAGCGCUUGCAACCAGACCUGCCUGCAGUUGUUCAUCCGGGCUUUUGCCCGGUGCACUCUUCUGCUGUCAGGCCAGCAUCAGUUCGGGCGGUCGGAUAAAGGCUUUGGGAAUGUAGCUCCUCUCGGGGAGUGUUGUAGCCCGUUGCGAGAUGCGGCCAGCCUGGACUGAGGUCCGCGCUCGGCUAGGAUGC